UUCAGUUAGCCUCACUGAGGACUUACACCUUUCUGGGGGGACAAGGACAGGGUGAGAAGCUGCUGAGAGGGAAAGACAGAGAAUACCCUGAGCUGAAGUUGAUGCAGAAGAUUGUUUUUCCCAUGCACAUGGACAAAUUUUACACUUCUCUUGAGGGGAAGGUCAUAGGUACAACAUGACUGUUUAACAUGGUUAACAGAGGCACAGGAGAGUCAGAGUAAGAGCCAUGGGCAGAAGAUCCCACAGCCUGGGCCAUAUAAUGCAGCACUGUGGAUUCUUCCCUCUUCAAAGGAAAAAAAAAAGCCAGCCCUCUGGAGGGGCCUGAACCUUUCCUGUAGCAGUCAGUGGCUGUCAUUGCCAAAAAUAUAAUUCCUCAUGCUCCCUUGAACAGUACCUUUUCAGUCAUGCUUGUAACUAUUAAGAAGCAAAGCACUGCCCCUGCCUGCCAGGGAGGAGAUGUCCCCACUUUGCCACAGACCCCUUUAGAAAUGUCACAAAUGUUUGGUUUCUGUAUUAACACCUUUAGGAAACAAGGACCUUCAUCUACAGGCCAACACCUUGUGCAUUUUUGAGCACUCAGUCAUAAAAUCACAUCUGUGCACAAGAAGAGCAUGAGAAGGCCAUUUUAAUGACUUUUUUUAACCUAAAGGGAGCUUACACCAUCUGUCCUGCUGACAGGUUUGCUGAGGAGACACAUCCAUGGUUUGUCAGCUGGGUUACACACAUACACUUGUGAAUCCAAUCCACAAAUGGGAUACUUCUUUCUUAUGCCAAGGGUACUCACUACUUUAAUUGAAAAUAAAACAGAGAUUAUCCAUAUCUGUAAUCAUAGUUUCAAACAGCCACCAGGUUUCCCCCAAAGGUGCCUGUGCUCCAGGGUAUGGAAGACAAACAUUUCAUGAGCUUUACAUUUCCAGUAUGUGACAAGCCAAAAGUCAAUACAAUGUACAGCAACAGAGUGGCAGAGCAUUAAGCGAGUGUUGGGCAUCCUUUUGUGUUUCCACCAAGAUUUUCUUCUUCCAUUCAAAAGAAGCAGAGGUGUCCAUGAUGAUUUUCUUGCACGUGGUUUUAGUAGUGCUUUGUUUAAUAGAAGAAACUGCCCAACUCUUGCAUGCCACAUGUAAAUGGAAGUGUCUACAGACACACUUCUUGACUUUUUACAGAAAAAGACUCAUCUGCAUCUCUAAUUCAGAAACUCUAUUUCAUUGGCCCUUCUCCAUGUCCAGCAGCUGGCUGUGAUGAUGAAGACCCCCAGCACAGUGCCCCUCUCCUUCCUGAGAGUUCAUAUGGAUCUCAAAGCAGUGUCUCCACUGUGGAGGCAAAUACUCUCUUGGCUUCACUAUUUACUUCCAUGAACAGAAGAAUCCUCAGGUGGAGGAACCAAUGCCUUUACUGCAAGUGAUACCAUUCAAGCUUUCUGCAGGGAGCCAAACUGGAGUAUAAUGAUUCCAUUGAAGAGUACCUCAGAGAAAGUGGAUGGAGUAAUGCAAGAGAAAUGAAGACUGAAAGCAGAAGCUGACAUUUCAUCUUGCAUUAUAGCCCAUGGGACAGAAGGCACAAAUACAGUAAAUUAUCUCUAGGAGACUCUUCUUCCUAGAAUGAAUGACUUCAAAGGCUCUAGCAAUACAAUGAAAUGAAUGAAAGAUUCCCCCUGUCUUUAGAGGACUGAGUAAUAACUUACAUGCUUCUUUGUACAGCAAUGCUUUAGUCAAUAUUUAUACAACA